rnacentral:rRNA from 1 species
GGUCAAGCGAAUAAGCGCACACGGUGGAUGCCUAGGCGGUCAGAGGCGAUGAAGGACGUGGUAGCCUGCGAAAAGUGUCGGGGAGCUGGCAACAAGCUUUGAUCCGGCAAUAUCCGAAUGGGGAAACCCACUGCUUCGGCAGUAUCCUGCAGUGAAUUCAUAGCUGCUGGAAGCGAACCCGGUGAACUGAAAUAUCUAAGUAACCGGAGGAAAAGAAAUCAACCGAGAUUCCCUAAGUAGUGACGAGCGAACGGGGAGCAGCCCUUAAGCUGGAAUGGCUUUAGAAAAACAAUCUGGAAAGAUUGGCCAUAGAAGGUGAUAGCCCUGUAUUUAAAAGGGCCACUCCAGUGAAGACGAGUAGGGCGGGGCACGUGAAACCCUGUCUGAAUAUGGGGGGACCAUCCUCCAAGGCUAAAUACUCCUGACCGACCGAUAGUGAACCAGUACCGUGAGGGAAAGGCGAAAAGAACCCCGGAGAGGGGAGUGAAAUAGAUCCUGAAACCGUGUGCGUACAAGCAGUAGGAGCUCGCAAGAGUGACUGCGUACCUUUUGUAUAAUGGGUCAGCGACUUACUGUUCGUGGCAAGCUUAACCGUAUAGGGGAGGCGAAGGGAAACCGAGUCUGAUAAGGGCGCAUAGUCGCGGGCAGUAGACCCGAAACCGGGUGAUCUAGUCAUGGCCAGGGUGAAGGUGCCGUAACAGGUACUGGAGGCCCGAACCCACGUCUGUUGCAAAAGACGGGGAUGAGCUGUGAUUAGGAGUGAAAAGCUAAUCGAACCCGGAGAUAGCUGGUUCUCCUCGAAAGCUAUUUAGGUAGCGCCUCGGACGAAUACUACUGGGGGUAGAGCACUGUUAUGGCUAGGGGGUCAUCGCGACUUACCAAACCAUUGCAAACUCCGAAUACCAGUACGUACUAUCCGGGAGACACACGGCGGGUGCUAACGUCCGUCGUGAAAAGGGAAACAACCCAGACCCACAGCUAAGGUCCCAAAUUCACUGCUAAGUGGAAAACGAUGUGGAAAGGCAUAGACAGCCAGGAGGUUGGCUUAGAAGCAGCCACCCUUUAAAGAAAGCGUAAUAGCUCACUGGUCGAGUCGGUCUGCGCGGAAGAUUUAACGGGGCUAAGCAGUGAACCGAAGCUUGGGGUGCAUAAAACUUGUUUUAUGCGCGGUAGAGGAGCGUUCCGUAAGCCUGCGAAGGUGGAUUGAGAAGUCUGCUGGAGGUAUCGGAAGUGCGAAUGCUGACAUGAGUAACGAUAAUGCGGGUGAAAAGCCCGCACGCCGAAAGCCCAAGGUUUCCUUGCGCAACGUUAAUCGACGCAGGGUUAGUCGGUCCCUAAGGCGAGGGCGAAAGCCGUAGUCGAUGGGAAGCAGGUUAAUAUUCCUGCACCUCGCGUGAGUGCGAUGGAGGGACGGAGAAGGUUAGGUGUACCGGGCGUUGGUUGUCCCGGGGAAAGGCGGUAGGUUUGGAUCUUUGGCAAAUCCGGGAUCCUUUAAGACCGAGCACCGAGACGAGCCUUUAUGGCGAAGUCACUGAUACCACGCUUCCAGGAAAAGCUCCUAAGCUUCAGCUCACGAAGACCGUACCGUAAACCGACACAGGUGGGUAGGAUGAGAAUUCUCAGGCGCUUGAGAGAACUCGGGUGAAGGAACUAGGCAACAUGGCACCGUAACUUCGGGAGAAGGUGCACCCUUUUUGGUGGCUCGUGCGAGCUAUAGCUGAAGAGGGUCGCAGAAACCAGGCCGCUGCGACUGUUUAUCAAAAACACAGCACUCUGCAAACACGAAAGUGGACGUAUAGGGUGUGACGCCUGCCCGGUGCUGGAAGGUUAAUUGAUGGGGUCAGCCGCAAGGCGAAGCUCUUGAUCGAAGCCCCAGUAAACGGCGGCCGUAACUAUAACGGUCCUAAGGUAGCGAAAUUCCUUGUCGGGUAAGUUCCGACCUGCACGAAUGGCGUAACGACAGCGGCGCUGUCUCCACCCGAGACUCAGUGAAAUUGAAAUCGCUGUGAAGAUGCAGCGUUCCCGUGGCAAGACGGAAAGACCCCGUGAACCUUUACUAUAGCUUUACACUGAACGUUGAGUUCGUCUGUGUAGGAUAGGUGGGAGGCUAUGAAACUGUGGCGCUAGCUGCAGUGGAGCCAUCCUUGAAAUACCACCCUGUCGUGCUUGACGUUCUAACCUAGGUCCGUUAUCCGGAUCAGGGACCGUGUAUGGUGGGUAGUUUGACUGGGGCGGUCUCCUCCUAAAGAGUAACGGAGGAGCACGAAGGUACGCUCAGCGCGGUCGGACAUCGCGCACUGUGUGCAAAGGCAUAAGCGUGCUUGACUGCAAGAUCGACGGAUCAAGCAGGUACGAAAGUAGGUCUUAGUGAUCCGGUGGUUCUGUAUGGAAGGGCCAUCGCUCAACGGAUAAAAGGUACUCCGGGGAUAACAGGCUGAUACCGCCCAAGAGUUCAUAUCGACGGCGGUGUUUGGCACCUCGAUGUCGGCUCAUCACAUCCUGGGGCUGUAGUCGGUCCCAAGGGUAUGGCUGUUCGCCAUUUAAAGUGGUACGCGAGCUGGGUUCAGAACGUCGUGAGACAGUUCGGUCCCUAUCUGCCAUGGGCGUUGGAAGUUUGAGAGGGGCUGCUCCUAGUACGAGAGGACCGGAGUGGACGAACCUCUGGUGUUCCGGUUGUCACGCCAGUGGCAUUGCCGGGUAGCUAUGUUCGGAAGCGAUAACCGCUGAAAGCAUCUAAGCGGGAAGCGCGCCUCAAGAUGAGACUUCCCGGGGCACAAGCCCCCUAAAGGAACCAUGUAGACUACGUGGUUGAUAGGUCAGGUGUGUAAGUACAGCAAUGUAUUGAGCUAACUGAUACUAAUGAUCCGUGCGGCUUGACCAU